UUUCUUGAUAAAUGGUAGACCAUUUCUAAAAAAUAAAAAAUUUCUACUCAUCUUGCUACAAUAUAUUGACGAUACGAUUGCUGUAAUUCUACGCAAGAUGUCGUGCUGCAGCCCGAACCGAAACUUGCAAGUCCCCUAGUGUCGUUUAUGUUUUAUAUUGCGCAUAAAUACGCAGAACCCGGGUUUCCGAAUUAUAUUUGUGACACAAAUUUGGCAUCAAAGGGCGGGAAACACGUGACUGAAUGUACGUUUUUACUUCUUGAGGCAAUUAUUAUACAUCAUCUCAUAUUAUUUGAUGCGGUAUAGUUGUGAAGUUAUAUAUCAUGAAAUCGGAUGCGUUUGUAGAGAUUCGACUGCUUUUUUACAUCCAUAUUAUUAUGUAUAAUCUUCCACAAAGCCGAUCCUGGCGAAGCAUGUGUGAAUCUUGCAUGUUCUGCGGCAGGCAUCUGUCAGAAGACAACGUUUGCAAGUCUUCCCACCACUGCGGGAACAGACAAAUAGUUGCCUGCCGGCAAGGUCAUGCAUGCGCCCAGGUACCAUUUCAUGCGCCGUCAGAUCAUGCAAGAUCUUGAUCGGCAGCGCCAUGCGGCAGAAUAAUGCUGUAUGGCGACGCAAAUCAAGCGAGCAAACAGCAAAGCUGUAUGGGACUGUCAAACAGAACUUGCUGCAGCAUUCAUGCGACGUCUGCUGCAAUUAUGUUCUUCGUACUUCGCAAGCUUCCCGUACGUACGCGCAGGAUGCUUAUACCCUAUAUGUUACAUACAAUAAUCGCGGGAACUGGGGAAGCUAGGGCUUCCCAGUAAAACGUGUAGAUAUACAUAUAGUCGACGAUAUUUUAUCAGCCGUAAGACAUACACGAGCUGGAAGGAAAAUAUAAAGAAAUACAUUACCUCAUUUCACAGGUUCUCAGAUCACAUUGCUGUUUGGCUUCUCGUCCAGAAGAUGUAAGAAUAUUGAUUUGGACUUGCAAUCGUCGCGUUGAAUUGAUUGAUGUUAAACCCGGAAAAUAUUGGCAUGUGUCUAUUAUGGGAAGGGUAAGCCGAAAGAUCCGAACAAUUUCUUUAAAAUGUUCACAAAUGAAGUCCAAGAGGUUUUCGCCAGCGGUGGUAUCCACUUCAAGAAUCAUUUAGUAAAAAUAAAGUUCAGAUGCUUCAUAGCUGAUACUCCGGAUUGAUUCCUUGGAGGUAUUCCAAGAGUUUGAAGAAGAUCCUGAAAGACAACGAUUUCUAAGAUACUAUCUUAUUAACGUUGGUGGUGUCACAGCUAGAGAUGCUUUCAACCAAUUUCUGAAGGAAGCCAUGACGGAUAGCCUGACACAAAAAUUCUCUUGGACUGGAAAGUCUGUUUCAGAUAAAGAGAAUCUCCGACCGUUAUUUAAUACCUGUAUCGAAAAGUAUUUUUUGAUGCCUUACGUGAGUGUCGAAAAAUACCACAGCCACAUGAUCGUACAGAAUUUGCGAGACUGAUGCAAGAGGCAAUUUGGGGCGCACAAAAAAGAUUGCGGGAUGCAAAACGGCGUGCCAAUCGCUCUGUCCAUGUGGAGGGUCACAGACAAAAAUAUAUGGCUGAAAUGGCUCAUCGUUACAAGGUUGAACACCCAGGACAAUGACACUGCGGAAUAAGAGACCCACAAUUUGCCUAUUAAAGAUCCUACGCGUAUUCAAACAUACGUACCUAUGUACUCGCUGUGAGCCUCACUCGUGCCGCCACCUAGCGGUUUCAAAAGCUAAACAGCCGGCGUGUUAAUUUACAUUAGAGGCAUACUGAUAAAUAUCCAAAUCAGCAAAAUAUUAUCAAAUAAGUGAUAUUUCCACUGUAACAGUGAAGUGAAAAGUUGAAAAUAAUAACGAGUUCAAACUCCAGUAGUAUGUAGCAAUAUAAUAUUAAUAAAUACACAAUGAAAACCACUA
rnacentral:lncRNA from 1 species